rnacentral:rRNA from 1 species
GAGACCCGUACCCACAGUUGCCAGCGGCUGCUCCGGCAGGCUGGGUACACUAUGGGGACCGCCUCUGCUAAAGAGGAGGAAGGAAUGGGCAACGGUAGGUCAGCAUGCCCCGAAUUAUCCGGGCUACACGCGGGCUACAAUGGUCAGGACAAUGGGUAUCGACACCGAGAGGUGAAGGCAAUCUCUUAAACCUGUCCUUAGUUCGGAUUGUGGGCUGCAACUCGCCCACAUGAAGCUGGAAUCCGUAGUAAUCGCGGAUCAACAUUCCGCGGUGAAUAU